GUGCUCACUUCAGCAGCACAUAUACAAAAAUUGGAACUAUACAGAGAAGAUUAGCAUGGCCCCGUGCAAGGAUGACACACAAAUUCAUGAAGCAUUCCAUGUUUUU
rnacentral:snRNA from 1 species